GAUGAACGCUGGCGGCGUGCCUAAUACAUGCAAGUCGAGCGAACGGACGAGAAGCUUGCUUUUCUGAUGUUAGCGGCGGACGGGUGAGUAACACGUGGAUAACCUACCUAUAAGACUGGGAUAACUUCGGGAAACCGGAGCUAAUACCGGAUAAUAUUUUGAACCGCAUGGUUCAAAAGUGAAAGACGGUCUUGCUGUCACUUAUAGAUGGAUCCGCGCUGCAUUAGCUAGUUGGUAAGGUAACGGCUUACCAAGGCAACGAUGCAUAGCCGACCUGAGAGGGUGAUCGGCCACACUGGAACUGAGACACGGUCCAGACUCCUACGGGAGGUAGCAGUAGGGAAUCUUCCGCAAUGGGCGAAAGCCUGACGGAGCAACGCCGCGUGAGUGAUGAAGGUCUUCGGAUCGUAAAACUCUGUUAUUAGGGAAGAACAUAUGUGUAAGUAACUGUGCACAUCUUGACGGUACCUAAUCAGAAAGCCACGGCUAACUACGU
rnacentral:rRNA from 1 species